CCCAUUGGGCAUUCCGCCAAUAUAAUACGCUGCAUCCGCAAGCACUCAUGCCACCCAUUGUCCCGCUUGGAGAUUUAGCAAGUAAAGUCACAUAAUCAUCCAAGGGGCCAUGAGCGCCACUAUGUAGCCACUCCCGUACCGCAUUGCACGGAGGGAGAGGGGGAAAGAAGAUGAUACCGAGUCACAUUUCGUGACGGACUACGUAGGCAACACAGGCAAAACCAUGAGGCCCCAAUAAUAUCAUUGGGUCGUAUAAUGAGGAGAUGCAGUAAGGACGGUUGGGUGCACAAGGCACAGAGCCCACCCUUACAAGCAAAUGCCAUGCAACUUAUGCGCCGACACGGUCAUUCUACCAUUUAUCACCCCAUCGCCCAUAUGCAUUUAUAUCAUAAAGAUAGUGCAAAUGGGUCAAAUGAAGCAGUCAACGGUUGAACUCCGC
rnacentral:misc_RNA from 1 species